rnacentral:rRNA from 1 species
GCGGCGUUGGUUGUCCGCGUUUAAGGUAGUAGGUGGUGUGCUUAGGCAAAUCCGGGCACACAUACACUGAGAGCUGACGACGAGUCCCUAAGGGGAUGAAGUGGUUGAUGCCAUGCUUCCAGGAAAAUCUUCUAAGCUUCAGGUUAGCAGGAAUCGUACCCCAAACCGACACAGGUGGUCGGGUAGAGAAUACCAAGGCGCUUGAGAGAACUCGGCUGAAGGAACUAGGCAAAAUGGUACCGUAACUUCGGGAGAAGGUACGCUCCUGUUGGUGAAGAGACUUGCUCUCAGAGCUGACGGGAGUCGCAGAUACCAGGUGGCUGCAACUGUUUAUCAAAAACACAGCACUGUGCAAAAUCGCAAGAUGACGUAUACGGUGUGACGCCUGCCCGGUGCCGGAAGGUUAAUUGAUUGGGUUAUCUUCGGAGAAGCUCAUGAUCGAAGCCCCGGUAAACGGCGGCCGUAACUAUAACGGUCCUAAGGUAGCGAAAUUCCUUGUCGGGUAAGUUCCGACCUGCACGAAUGGCGUAAUGAUGGCCACGCUGUCUCCAGCCGAGACUCAGUGAAGUUGAAAUUGCGGUGAAGAUGCCGUAUACCCGCGGCUAGACGGAAAGACCCCGUGAACCUUUACUAUAGCUUGGCACUGAACAUUGACCCUACAUGUGUAGGAUAGGUGGGAGACUAUGAAGAUGAGACGCCAGUCUUGUUGGAGUCAACCUUGAAAUACCACCCUUGUAGUGUUGAUGUUCUAACCUGGGCCCCUAAUCGGGGUUAGGGACAGUGCCUGGUGGGUAGUUUGACUGGGGCGGUCUCCUCCCAAAGAGUAACGGAGGAGCACGAAGGUUGGCUAAGUACGGUCGGACAUCGUACGGUUAGUGUAAUGGCAUAAGCCAGCUUAACUGCGAGACAGACACGUCGAGCAGGUGCGAAAGCAGGUCAUAGUGAUCCGGUGGUUCUGAAUGGAAGGGCCAUCGCUCAACGGAUAAAAGGUACUCCGGGGAUAACAGGCUGAUACCGCCCAAGAGUUCAUAUCGACGGCGGUGUUUGGCACCUCGAUGUCGGCUCAUCACAUCCUGGGGCUGAAGUCGGUCCCAAGGGUAUGGCUGUUCGCCAUUUAAAGUGGUACGCGAGCUGGGUUCAGAACGUCGUGAGACAGUUCGGUCCCUAUCUGCCGUGGGCGUUGGAUGAUUGAGGGGAGCUGCUCCUAGUACGAGAGGACCGGAGUGGACGAACCGCUGGUGUUCGGGUUGUCAUGCCAAUGGCAUUGCCCGGUAGCUACGUUCGGAAUCGAUAACCGCUGAAAGCAUCUAAGCGGGAAGCGAGCCCCAAGAUGAGUCAUCCCUAGGGCCUAGAGCCCUCUGAAGAGCCGUUCGAGACCAGGACGUUGAUAGGCAGGGUGUGUAAGCGUUGCGAGGCGUUGAGCUAACCUGUACUAAUGACUCGAGAGGCUUAACCAUACAACCCAGAUGGGUUUU